CGUAUCACCCUGCUCUGAAAUUCUGUCAGCUUCGUUACUGAUGGUGUUUUUUUUUUACAGCUUUUGACAUGAUAUUUUACUGAUAAAAACAAGCUGGUCAGUGGUUUUUAUUUAACUAGACAAGUAAAGGAAGGUAACACAUGUAACCAUCUCACAUUUGGGUAAAUUAUCAAAUAAAGUACCCAAAUGUGUGACCAUUAACUUUGAGGGCCUUGCAUGAACUCCACCUAGAUCAUCUAUUUUCUGACAACCUCCUGCAGAAGCAGUCAAACCCUGCCAAACAACCAACCACCUCCUUUCAGCUGAGAGACACAGCUUCUCUCCCACCACUACCUCCUCCAGAGAGAGGAGCAAUGCAAAGUACACAAACUACCUCACUGGCAGUGCAGGAGUGGAACAUUCAGGCCUGUUCUCACAGUUAAAAGUAGUUCGCUACAGUAAAUUAUUUAACGGCUUCUCAGACACCGUUUGCCAGGACAAUUUCCUCACUGCUGUGCCUGAAGAGAGAGAGGCUACACUCACACUGCCUAACUGACUAUUCUACUCUAAGCCAAAAAGGGCCCCCUGGCUGGUUUGGUAUCGACUGGCUGAGGCACUUUGGAAGCUCUCCUUCUGAGGUAGAGAGACCGUCUUGCCCUCCCUCCAGGAUUUGUUCCAUCAGGCCUUUUGUUGUGUUGCAGCAGAAAAGGCCAUGAGACUGCAGACUCAUCAGCCUGCUAAAUGGCUGCUCUUAAAAGAUCAAAAAGGAGAGCCGCACACUCUAGAAGCUCAAAUGCAAUCAUUUUGUAACCAACAUUGGUUAUAAAAUUUGGCUGAGAGACCACCUGGUCCUGAGACUACAGGCUACCUCUGUUAAUGGGUCUCUAACCUGAUGAGACUUUACAGGUCAGUCAAUUAGACAGAGUCUGGGAGAACAGACUUGGAGUAGUGUGCUUCAGUGCCAUUUUAGUCAUUGUGCUUUACAAAUUAAAACACAACUAGGCUACUUCUUUCAUAUUGAUGUUGCCAUAGCAGAAUGGAGAAAAUGAGAGGGGUGUGGAUACUGCAAUGAAGGCGAUUUGUUUGUGUGGAUCCCCUCUCUCUCUCUUCAUCUCUCUCUCGAAUGUACCAGGAGAGGGAGGGAAAAUAAUGGACAAAAGGAAGAUGAGAAAAGAUGGAUUGAGUAAGCAAAAAAAGGAGAGAUGUGGCAGAGAGAGAAGUGUGAGGAGGAUGGAAAAAGAGAGAGGGGUGGAGAGAAAAACAGGUGAGAGACAGUAAGAGGAUGCAGUGGGAGACAGGGAGCAAAACAGAGAGGUGAGAGACAGUAAGAGGAUGCAGUGGGAGACAGGGAGCAAAACAGAGAGGUGAGAGACAGUAAGAGGAUGCAGUGGGAGACAGGGAGCAAAACAGAGAGGUGAGAGACAGUAAGAGGAUGCAGUGGGAGACAGGGAGCAAAACAGAGAGGUGAGAGACAGUAAGAGGAUGCAGUGGGAGACAGGGAGCAAAACAGAGAGGUGAGAGACAGUAAGAGGAUGCAGUGGGAGACAGGGAGCAAAACAGAGAGGUGAGAGACAGUAAGAGGAUGCAGUAGGAGACAGGGAGCAAAACAGAGAGGUGAGAGACAGUAAGAGGAUGCAGUAGGAGACAGGGAGCAAAACAGAGAGGUGAGAGACAGUAAGAGGAUGCAGUGGGAGACAGGGAGCAAAACAGAGAGGUGAGAGACAGUAAGAGGAUGCAGUAGGAGACAGGGAGCAAAACAGAGAGGUGAGAGACAGUAAGAGGAUGCAGUGGGAGACAGGGAGCAAAACAGAGAGGUGAGAGACAGUAAGAGGAUGCAGUAGGAGACAGGGAGCAAAACAGAGAGGUGAGAGACAGUAAGAGGAUGCAGUAGGAGACAGGGAGCAAAACAGAGAGGUGAGAGACAGUAAGAGGAUGCAGUAGGAGACAGGGAGCAAAACAGAGAGGUGAGAGACAGUAAGAGGAUGCAGUGGGAGACAGGGAGCAAAACAGAGAGGUGAGAGACAGUAAGAGGAUGCAGUAGGAGACAGGGAGCAAAACAGAGAGGUGAGAGACAGUAAGAGGAUGCAGUAGGAGACAGGGAGCAAAACAGAGAGGUGAAAGACAGUAAGAGGAUGCAGUGGGAGACAGGGAGUAAAACAGAGAGGUGAGAGACAGUAAGGAUGCAGUGGGAGACAGGGAGCAAAACAGAGAGGUGAGAGACAGUAGGAGGAUGCAGUAGGAGACAGGGAGCAAAACAGAGAGGUGAAAGACAGUAAGAGGAUGCAGUGGGAGACAGGGAGUAAAACAGAGAGGUGAGAGACAGUAAGGAUGCAGUGGGAGACAGGGAGUAAAACAGAGAGGUGAGAGACAGUAAGAGGAUGCAGUAGGAGACAGGGAGCAAAACAGGAAGGGCAAAAAUAAAAACCGUAAUGAACAGCAGAGGAAAAGCGAGAAGCGGGUGAGGAAUAAAAAGUGAGUGAGAAAAAGAGCAGGUGUGGUCCUCUCCUCUUCUCUUCCUCUAGUUCCAGUAACAGGCAGUGACCUCAGGCUGAACAGAGUACCCAGAGGCUCAUGUGUCCCGAAAAACCAUCCAGCUGCCAGGCCACGGGUAUUACGUUACCCUCUCGGCCAGGGAAUGGGUCACA